UACGUAGGGUGCGAGCGUUGUCCGGAAUUAUUGGGCGUAAAGGGCUCGUAGGCGGUCUGUCACGUCGGGAGUGAAAACUCGGGGCUUAACCCCGAGCCUGCAGUGGAUACGGGCAGACUAGAGGUAGGUAGGGGAGAAUGGAAUUCCCGGUGUAGCGGUGAAAUGCGCAGAUAUCGGGAGGAACACCGGUGGCGAAGGCGGUUCUCUGGGCCUUACCUGACGCUGAGGAGCGAAAGCGUGGGGAGCGAACAGG
rnacentral:rRNA from 1 species